UACGAAGGGUGCAAACGUUGCUCGGAAUUAUUGGGCGUAAAGCGCACGUAGGCGGCUUAGCAAGUCGGAAGUGAAGGCCCUCGGCUCAACCAAGGAAGUGCUUUCGAAACUGCUGAGCUUGAGUAGUUAAGAGGAUCGCGGAAUUCCCGGUGUAGAGGUGAAAUUCGUAGAUAUCGGGAGGAACACCAGUGGCGAAGGCGGCGAUCUGGGAACAUACUGACGCUGAGGUGCGAAAGCGUGGGGAGCAAACAGG
rnacentral:rRNA from 1 species